UACGUAGGGUGCAAGCGUUGUCCGGAAUUAUUGGGCGUAAAGAGCUCGUAGGCGGUUUGUCGCGUCUGCUGUGAAAACCCGAGGCUCAACCUCGGGCCUGCAGUGGGUACGGGCAGACUAGAGUGCGGUAGGGGAGACUGGAAUUCCUGGUGUAGCGGUGAAAUGCGCAGAUAUCAGGAGGAACACCCGUAGCGAAGGCGGCACUCUGGGCCGGAACUGACGCUGAGGAGCGGAAAGCGUGGGGGAGCAAAC
rnacentral:rRNA from 1 species